rnacentral:sRNA from 1 species
AUCGAACAGCGAAUCAGGUUUCGGAGGUAGGUCUCAUGUUUGUCGAUAAUGUGGUGCUCGCAGGGGUGGUCACGGUCGGCCUGAUGGUCGCCUUCCUCGGAGGCUUCGGAUAUUUCAUCUGGAAGGACGCGCACAAGAAGCGCUGAGUUCUUCCAGAUUCAAAGAGCACGCAAGGCAUUUAGGCGACCUAUGGUCGCCUUUUUUUUG